rfam:Triticum aestivum genome assembly, contig: Triticum_aestivum_CS42_TGACv1_scaffold_329413_4BS
AAGCUACUCCCUCCGUCCGGAAAUACUUGUCAGAGGAAUGAAUGUAUCUAGACAUUUUAGUUCUACAUACAUCCAUUUUUAUGCAUUUCUCCGACAAGUAUUUCCGGACGGAGGGAGUAUUAA